CGGGCAGGCAAGCAGUCGGAUUCAUAGUGCUGAAGGGACCAGUUGCGAGCAAGCUUAAGCACUUCAGCAGCGUUGCAAGCAUCCUGUGUUCUAGCAUCCUUGCGCUCAUUCGGAAGUGCCAUCAGUUGGCGAGUGCCAUCGAGAUUUGUUCCGAAGUGCUCGGGCUUACCAUCGUCCGACCGGAUGACAGCGAAUUUCGAGCAGUCAGUCACCCAAUCUCGGGCGACGAUAGCCAUUGCACAC
rnacentral:misc_RNA from 1 species